AUUGAACGCUGGCGGAAUGCUUUACACAUGCAAGUCGAACGGCAGCACGGACUUCGGUCUGAUGGCGAGUGGCGAACGGGUGAGUAAUGUAUCGGAACGUGCCCAGUCGUGGGGGAUAACGUAGUGAAAAUUACGCUAAUACCGCAUACGACCUAUGGAUGAAAGCGGGGGAUCGCAAGACCUCGCGCGAUUGGAGCGGCCGAUAUCAGAUUAGGUAGUUGGUGGGGUAAAGGCCCACCACGCCAACGAUCUGUAGCUGGUCUGAGAGGACGACCAGCCACACUGGAACUGAGACACGGUCCAGACUCCUACGGGAGGCAGCAGUGGGGAAUUUUGGACAAUGGGCGAAUGCCUGAUCCAGCCAUUCCGCGUGCAGGAUGAAGGCCCUCGGGUUGUAAACUGCUUUUGUACAGAACGAAAAGGUUUCUACUAAUACUAGGAGCUCAUGACGGUACUGUAAGAAUAAGCACCGGCUAACUACGUGCCAGCCGCCGCAGUAA
rnacentral:rRNA from 1 species